rnacentral:rRNA from 1 species
UACGAGAGGCCCAAACGUUAUUCGGAUUUACUGGGCUUAAAGAGUUCGUAGGCGGUGCAGAAAGUGGGGUGUGAAAGCCCUCGGCUCAACCGAGGAAUUGCGCUCCAAACUACUGUACUCGAGGAAGCUAGAGGUGAGCAGAACAGAUGGUGGAGCGGUGAAAUGCGUAGAUAUCAGGAGGAACACCGGUGGUGUAGACGGCUCUCUGGACAGUCACUGACGCUGAGACACGAAAGCGUGGGGAGCAAACAGG